AUACGUAGGGGGCAAGCGUUGUCCGGAAUUAUUGGGCGUAAAGCGCGCGCAGGCGGUCUUUUAAGUCUGGUGUCUAAGUGCGGGGCUCAACCCCGUGAUGCACUGGAAACUGAGAGACUUGAGUGCAGUAGAGGAGAGCGGAAUUCCACGUGUAGCGGUGAAAUGCGUAGAGAUGUGGAGGAACACCAGUGGCGAAGGCGGCUACCUGGCCUAAUACUGACACUGAGGCACGAAAGCGUGGGGAGC
rnacentral:rRNA from 1 species